rnacentral:lncRNA from 1 species
AGUUAUUCUUACAUUUUUAGUCACCUACUGUCCUGCCUCAACCAAUUAAGCAGUUGUGUUAAAACCUAUUAAAAAGCAACUGUAUUCUGCCCCAGAGGAUGUUGCAUUUAGAGAGAAGGAUUUAAACAAUUUUGAAACCUCAGACAGCUCCAGAGAGAGAUUCUGCAACUGUGUUACCAAGCAAUUAUUCCUUGUAAGCCUGGGGAAGACAGGUUAAAGGUAGAGAAAAUUUAAACAGAGGUAUGAAGGACAAUUACUGUAUCCCUUCUGCUCUAUGRCUCAGCUGCAUUCCUGUUCUUUGCAGAGGCAAAAUCACUCAUGAAUCUUAAACAGCUUUUGCACAGAAUGAGCUCAACUAAUGAAAAAACACAGAAGAUUGCCAUAAUCUCUUGAAUCUAAGGAGUAAUGUAGAGCACUGAUUCCAUCAGGAUGAGAAAAAAAGAAAGACUGAGAAAGAUGGCCAGGUGCCUUAUGAAGGUUUGUAAUAUAUUUCUUAAGAAAACGUAGGGGAGGGAGAGGUGACACUAUUUGAACAAUACAGUUAUUUUACAU